rnacentral:tRNA from 1 species
GUGAGGUUGACCGAGCGGUUAGGUGAUGGUCUGCAAAACCAUUUAGGGCAGUUCGAUUCUGCCACCUCACUCCA